rnacentral:misc_RNA from 1 species
AAAAAAAAAAAAAAAAAAAGAGACCACAUAAAACCUUUUAUUUUGCUAAGCCAGCUGCAACAACAAAGACUAUCUGCAUCCGGACCGAGCGGUGGCACUUUGACCUGGUAGGUAUUAGGAGCUAAACAGCUCGCUUGUAUCAUCGUUCGUUAAAUGGUUAGGGUUCAACUCAGCGGGGUUAAGCUACUUCAUGGUUCAUGAUAUAAUAAAACAAAAAUUUUCAAGGUAAGAAGCAAAACAAGGAAACCAUAAAACGCAGCAGAUGCCCUGAGCUUUGGAAGAAUUAGAUGAGCCAGGCCUCAUGUACCCUUCAAACCUUUCGCCACCUCUUGAAAGCCAGCAUUGCCAACAGAGACCUUCAAACAGGCAAAACCCUCCACGCACUAUACCUCAAAUCUCUAAUUCCUUUCUCAACCUUUCUCUCCAACCACUUCAUCAUCCUCUACUCCAAAUGCAACCGCCUAACCACGGCCCACUUUGCCUUCAACCAAACCCACGAACCUAAUGUCUUUUCUUUCAACGUUCUCCUGGAAGCCUAUGCAAAAAAAUCACUUACUGAUAUUGCCCACCGCCUGUUUGAUAAAAUUCCGCAACCAGACGUUGUCUCUUAUAAUACCCUCAUCACUGCUUAUGCAGAUUGCGGGAAGAUUUUACCCGCCUUAAGCUUGUUUAGGGAAAUGAGAGAGAUUGGUUUUGACGUGGAUGGGUUCACCCUCUCUGGAGUGAUCAGUGCUUGUUGCAAUGAUGUGAAUUUGAUCACCCAGUUGCAUUCUUUAUCUGUUUCUGCUGGACUUGAUUCUUAUGUUUCAGUGAACAAUUCGCUGGUUACAUAUUAUGGUAAAAAUGGGUAUUUGGAGGAGGCGGAAAGAAUAUUCUACGGGAUGGGAGAAGAGAAUAGAGAUGAGGUUUCUUGGAACACUAUGAUCGUGGCAUAUGGGCAGCAAAGAGAGGGGUUUAAAGCGUUGGCAUUGUUUCAAGAAAUGAUUCACAGGGGCUUUGAGGUUGAUAUAUUUACUCUGGCAAGUGUUUUGACUGCGUUUACAUGCAUGGAGGACUUGUUUGGGGGACUGCAGUUUCAUGCUAAGUUGAUCAAAACUGGGUUUUAUCAGAAUUGUCAUGUAGGGAGUGGUUUGAUCGACUUGUAUGCUAAGUGUGGUGGUAGUAUGUUAGACUGUAGAAAAAUAUUUCAAGAGAUCCCUGCCGCAGACUCUGUUCUUUGGAACACAAUCAUUUAUGGCUAUUCACUAGAUGAGGAAUUAUCUGAGGAGGCUCUUGAUUGUUUUAGGCAGAUGCAGCGUGCUGGUUACAAGCCAGAUGAUUGUACCUUUGUGUGUGUGAUUAGGGCAUACUCUAAUUUAUCAUCUCCCUCUCAGGGAAAACAAAUUCAUGCAUUGGCAAUGAAAUCUGACAUCCCUUCAAAUCAAAUUUCUGUGGAUAAUGCUCUUGUUGCCAUGUAUUCAAAGUCUGGAAAUCUUCAAGAUGCAAGACGUUUAUUUGAUACGAUGCUAAAGCAUAAUGUGGUGUCAUUAAAUUCAAUUAUUGCAGGCUAUGCACAACAUGGAAAUGGAAUGGAAUCACUGCUCCUUUUUAAACAGAUGCUCGAGAAUGGCAUUGCCCCUACAAGAAUAACCUUUAUUUCCGUCCUUUCUGCUUGUGCACACAAUGGAAAGGUUGAGGAAGGCAAGAGGUACUUCAAUAUGAUGAAAGAGAAGUUUUGUAUUGAACCAGAAUCAGAACAUUACUCUUGCAUGAUUGAUCUUUUGGGUCGAGCUGGAAAGCUACAUGAAGCAGAAGAACUAAUUGAGACAAUGCCAUUUAGCCCUGGCUCCAUUGGUUGGGCUGCAUUACUUGGUGCCUGUAGGAAACACGGAAAUGUGGAGCUAGCUGAGAAGGCAGCAAAUGAGUUAUUGCAGCUGGAACCUACAAAUGCCACACCUUAUGUCUUGCUAGCAAAUAUGUAUAGCAGUGCUGGAAAAUGGGAAGAGGUAACUAGAGUUAGAAAGCUUAUGCGAGCUAGGGGUGUUAAGAAGAAGCCAGGCUGUAGUUGGAUUGAGUUGAACAAGAGGAUACAUGUGUUUGUGGCUGAAGAUAGAUAUCAUCCACUGAUGAAAGAAAUUCAUGAUUACUUGGAGGCGAUGUCAAUGAAGAUGAAGCAAGCUGGGUAUGUGCCUGAUGUGAGAUGGGCUUUGGUUAAGGAUGAUGAAACGGUGGAAGGGGAGAGGGAGUUCAAGAUAGCGCAUCACAGUGAGAAACUAGCAGUGGCAUUUGGACUGCUUUCAACAAAAGAUGGAGAGCCAAUACUUGUGAUGAAAAACCUCAGGAUAUGUGGGGAUUGCCACAAUGCAAUCAAAUAUAUCUCAGCGAUUUCUGGUAGAACAAUUACUGUCAGGGAUACUCAUAGAUUUCAUUGCUUCAUGGAAGGACAGUGCUCUUGUGGCGAUUAUUGGUGAUAAUAGUUGACAAUGUGCAGUUUUGGCUCCUGUAUCUGUAGGUAUGGCACAGGGGCCCUGCUUCCUUAUAGCUAACUUCCUCCAUACAAAAAGCAAAGAAAAAAAUUAUGAUACAUAAGCCCUUCAUUUUUUU